CCGUGACGCAGCUAACGCAUUAAGUUCCCCGCCUGGGGAGUACGGCCGCAAGGCUAAAACUCAAAGGAAUUGACGGGGACCCGCACAAGCGGCGGAGCAUGCGGAUUAAUUCGAUGCAACGCGAAGAACCUUACCAAGGCUUGACAUAUACGAGAACGGGCCAGAAAUGGUCAACUCUUUGGACACUCGUAAACAGGUGGUGCAUGGUUGUCGUCAGCUCGUGUCGUGAGAUGUUGGGUUAAGUCCCGCAACGAGCGCAACCCUCGUUCUAUGUUGCCAGCACGUAAUGGUGGGAACUCAUGGGAUACUGCCGGGGUCAACUCGGAGGAAGGUGGGGAUGACGUCAAAUCAUCAUGCCCCUUAUGUCUUGGGCUUCACGCAUGCUACAAUGGCCGGUACAAAGGGCUGCAAUACCGCGAGGUGGAGCGAAUCCCAAAAAGCCGGUCCCAGUUCGGAUUGAGGUCUGCAACUCGACCUCAUGAAGUCGGAGUCGCUAGUAAUCGCAGAUCAGCAACGCUGCGGUGAAUACGUUCCCGGGUCUUGUUCACACCACCCUCAAGUCAUGAAAGUCGGUAACACCUGAAGC
rnacentral:rRNA from 1 species